rnacentral:rRNA from 1 species
CGUGGAUAACCUGCCUCAAGGCUGGGGAUAACAUUUGGAAACAGAUGCUAAUACCGAAUAAAACUUAGUAUCGCAUGAUAUCAAGUUAAAAGGCGCUACGGCGUCACCUAGAGAUGGAUCCGCGGUGCAUUAGUUAGUUGGUGGGGUAAAGGCUUACCAAGACGAUGAUGCAUAGCCGAGUUGAGAGACUGAUCGGCCACAUUGGGACUGAGACACGGCCCAAACUCCUACGGGAGGCAGCAG